rnacentral:rRNA from 1 species
AGUGAACGCUGGCGGUAGGCCUAACACAUGCAAGUCGAACGGCAGCACAGUAAGAGCUUGCUCUUACGGGUGGCGAGUGGCGGACGGGUGAGGAAUACAUCGGAAUCUACUUUUUCGUGGGGGAUAACGUAGGGAAACUUACGCUAAUACCGCAUACGACCUACGGGUGAAAGCAGGGGAUCUUCGGACCUUGCGCGAUUGAAUGAGCCGAUGUCGGAUUAGCUAGUUGGCGGGGUAAAGGCCCACCAAGGCGACGAUCCGUAGCUGGUCUGAGAGGAUGAUCAGCCACACUGGAACUGAGACACGGUCCAGACUCCUAAGGGAGGCAGCAGUGGGGAAUAUUGGACAAAGGGCGCAAGCCUGAUCCAGCCAUACCGCGUGGGUGAAGAAGGCCUUCGGGUUGUAAAGCCCUUUUGUUGGGAAAGAAAAGCAGCAGGUUAAUACCCCGCUGUUCUGACGGUACCCAAAGAAUAAGCACCGGCUAACUUCGUG